ACGCUUGAAGUCAGUCAUGUCAGCCAGGACUCAGCCUUGCUUUCGCUUGGUGCACUUUCUGGUUUGAUGGGCCAACAUCAAUUUCGACCGUUGGAGAAAGGCUUUGGGAAUGUGGCACCUUUUGGGUGUGUUAUAGCCCUUUGUUGUAUAUGACGGUUGGGAUUGAGGACCGCAGCACGCCUUAUGGCCGGGGUUCGCCCACGUACGUGCUUAGGAUGUUGGCAUAAUGGCUUUAAGCGACCCGUCUUGAAACACGGACCAAGGAGUC
rnacentral:rRNA from 1 species